CUUAAUAUUAUAUAUUAUACACUUAUAUAAAAUACAUAUUUACCAUUUACUACUUACUUAGUUGCUAUUAGAAUUAAUUUUAUUAUUUUUACUAUGUUAAAUUUUGAAUAUUAGAAUUUCGAAUUUAAAACUCUUAAAUGUUAAUUUUAUGACUUACGUAAAAAGACAAAGAUUGUCUUGACUCUUGUGAUUAUAAAUAUUAAUUUUAAGAUAUUGAUGUUAUUAAUGUCAAAUAUUAUGAUUUAUAUGAGUCAAAGGGUAAUUGUUAUGUUUUCUUUACACUUAGAUUAUUAAUAUAUUUUAUAAUUCUGAAUGAAAUUUAUAAAUUUCAAUAUCGCAAUUUACAAAAGACAAGAGUGACAAUUUCUACUUUCUUUUAGUCCAAAGUCGAACUAAUCAAAUCAAUUCAAUUUUUGAUCGAUUCAAUUCUCUUUUUAAAUUUGGUUGGUUCAAUCCUUUUUCAAAAAAUUAAAUCCCUUUGAUCCUUAAUUAUGACGAAUUGAACCAACCAACCGAUGAAUUGUCCAUCCCUAAUUUUACUUUAGAGAGGAAAAACCAGAUAACAAAAGAACAUGGGAAAGAAGUGUUUGGGCUAGCCUAAGGCCCAAUUUAGCUAAUUUGUGCUUAGUCAAGUAUAAGCCCAACAUUAAUCUUAUACUAUAAAAUAACAUUUGAUACAUUAAUGUAUUAUAAAUUACAUUUCAUAUUAUAUAUUGUUAUAUUUAAUAUAAAACUAGACAAAUACUCGCGCUAUGCAGCAGGUUUGAAAAUUUUUAUAAACACUUAGAUGUUAAAAAUUAUGAACCGGUGAUAAAAAUUGUAAAAGUUGUUAUUGAUAUAAUCCUGCUAAUUAAUAUUUGACAUGUGUACAAUUUGUCAAUAAAUGCACAAAAACUAUCCUAAUAUGUACAAAAAUUGUUCUCAUUCUCAAUGAGCAGAAUAUUAUCCUAAAAAAAAAACAAUAACCCUACUAAUUAAUAUUCAACAUAUCUACAAAUAACAUCUAUUACAAAAUGUUAAAAAAAUUGUUCGUAUAAAUCAAUGAGCAAGCUGUUUGAAAAACAAAACAAAAGUAUUGCGCAUGCAUCCGCAAGAUAUGGGAGUUCUAGAGGUACAUGAUUCCCCUAGAUGCUCUAUUCAAUAUGGGGUUUUGGGAUUUUCAAAAUUACUGUAAAAAUCUUAGCAGCCUAAAAAAACCUUUGAUAGUAAGAUAACAGUCAACAAUAUAUCACAGAAAGCAAAGUGGCACAUAGAUCCAUACAUCAUGUUAAUUUAUUUUGAAAGGAGAAGACUCAAAGAGCAGGACUAGCCAAUUCCGAAAAAUUACAUGUACUAUGUAAUCAUUUUUGUCAAGGAAACCUAAGUAUGGUAGUCCCUGAUCUAAUACACCAUCCACCAUCAAUAUUACUUAUCUCUUAACCAAUAACACAGUGACAAUUAGGAUAAAAGCUCUAAAGACUGAAAAAGCUAUGUUGGUGGUGAUGAAAUAAAUCUUAACAAAAAGGAUGCCUCUUUUAUUUUAUUCCUAAUUAGAUUAUCUAUUAAUUGUUGCUAUUGAAGAGAGAAGCAAUUACACAGUUAAACUAGCAAAGUAGAAAUAAAGAAAAUUGAAACCAAAAUUUUUAUGAAAAAGAGAAUUUGAAAGCAGGAACCUAACUACAAAAUCUUCUACACCAAGGUUUUGAUACAAUAGCUAAUAGUAAUGUCUAAGUCCAACCAUUCACAGCAUUAGCUUUACGCUAGUGUCAUAGAAAGGUUUGGUUCAUUCUCAGUGUGAAUUGUAGAGAGGCAAUAACAGUUUACUUGCACAACAGGUAACCAAUCAUAAAUGUAAUUAGUAAUUUUUUAGCCUCCAUACUGAUCCAAGUGGCCAUUAUUUUACUUUACGCUCAAGGAAUGUUCAUUUUUCAUACUUUUGGCAUGUAGAUUGCCCGCUGUAAAGAGGGUUCUUGUGAUAGGGAGAGGAAACGUUGCAAACAAGUAAAAUGAUGUGCCAGAGGUGACAGAGAGGAAGAUUGAAGCAGUUCCUGAAGUACUAAAUGCUGUGACAGGUGGAAGACAAUAAGAAAAGACUUAAAGAGACUUAGAGAGUACAAGAUAAUUAGAGAGAGAAGCUCUCAAGUUGAGAAUGUGUUAACUUGAAGGGGGAGAGAAGAGUCCUCCCAAUGAGGCUCUAUAUAUAGUGCUAAAAGUGACGGUUACAUAAAAAUAGGCUUUAAUACGCCUAAUGAAUGACAUUAUUAUGAAGAAUAUUAAUUAAAGUAACCGUUACUGUAAUUAGAUGUAGUAAGACUUGUUCUCAAGUAAAGGUAAUAGAAAAGAGGUGUACAAGAAUAGGUACAAGAGAAGAAGCUGUACGAGAAUAGGUACAAGAGAAUAAGCUGUACAUGAAUAAGUAUAUGAGAACAAGAUAAGAGGGUGAAACACUUGUACUUCAAGAAAGGGUUAAGAGGAAGACCUCUUAACUACCUCCAUAUCUGAGCCACCAAGCCAAACUCUCUGAAACAUCCCAAGAUGAAAGUAACCCAUGAACCCUGCCACUUAUUCUGAGUUACUUUCACUGUCAUCCAAGUGAAGCGGUUAUUCUAUUCAAAGUGGUUGUUCUACUUGUAUUAGUUAUUCUAUAUGGAGUAAUACUUUACUUUUUCUAAUUGUUCUGCUUUAAGUAAUACUUGAAGUAGCGCUUCACUUGUUCUGCGUGAAGUAGCGCUUCACUUGUUCUGCGUGAAGUAACGCUUCACUUGUUCUAGUUAUUCUGCGUGAAGUAACACUUCACUUGUUCUGGUUGUUCUCUAUAUAAUAUUAUGUUGUAACAUAAUUCUUUAGAGUAACAGUAUUAACCAAAAUCUAGUAUCUACAUUUUGCCCCCUGCAUAAGAAUUCAUUGUUAAAAAUAAUUCUUAUGUAUUAAUUUAAAGUAUAAUUUUUUUUGUACUAUAACGUAUUGUAUUGUAUUACUUUGAACAGUAAUGCCUUGGGCAGUACUACUUUAGACAGUAACACCUUAGCCAGUAAUACUUUAGGUAGUAACACAUUACUGUCUUGUGUAAGGUGUACUACUAAUUUUAAUUAAUUUUUUUUUAUCAAUAUCUUUUGUAAUAUAUGAUUGAUUAUGCAAUAAUAUUUAAUAUCUUUCGUAAUAUUUGAUUGUAUUUUUUUUUUUUAAUGUCAAUAUCUUUUGUAAUAUUUUAUUGAUUAUGCAAUAAUAUUUAAUAUCUUUUUCAUAAAAACCUUGAUUCUAUGUGGCUUAUAAAUAUCAAGUUAUUACAAACAAUUUUCUUCAUUCAAAUUUAAAGUAAAGCAAAAACAAAUUUCAGAGCAAAGUCGAUUCUUUUGCGGAUCUUUUCAAGUAAGUAAGUUUUUUUUUUUUUUUAUUAGUUGAAUUUCUCAUACUUGUUGCCCCCUGCAUGAAAUUUUUUUUUUAUUAAAAUAUGAGGAAAGAGAAAAAAAAAUUUCAUGCAUGAGAUAUUUUGAUUAUAAAAGAAAAUCAUAAAGUAAGAACAUUUAUGUUACCUUGGCUUUGUUUUAAUCUUUUAUUACUCUGACUCAUUGCAAGGUAGCUGUGGUUUCUAUUUGCUUUUUGAAUCUUACAAAUUGGAGUAAUAGGCUUCUUAAUUUAUUUAUUAUUAUUUUUUAAGUAUAAUUUAUUGUUUUUAUUUUGACAUAUAGUGUUUAAUAGAAAAGAGAAAUAUUAGAAUAAAGAAAUCAAGAAAAAAAAAUUAAAGUGAACGGCAUGUUAGGAAGGAGAAAUACUAGAAUAAAGAAACAAACUAGUAAAUGCAUAAAAAGUUGGCAAAAGCUGCAUGUCUUUCUUUUGUCUUUUGUUUGACUUUGACCCUUGUCUUUUGUUUUGCAUAAAAGCUAACAAAACUGAACGGCAUGUCUUUCUAAUUUUUUUUUUAUUAUUUUACUUGGGCUUGUACUAUGACUUUGACUUGUGUUAUGCCUUGCUCUAGCUUUAAAGUAAAAACUUUUUAAGUGAAGCUCGCGGCAUGUGCCGCGAGCAAUUUUAAGUGAAGCUCGCGGCAUGUGCCGCGAGCAUUUUUAAGUGAAGCUCGCGGCACAUUUUUAAGUGAUUUGCCGCGAGCUCUUUUUAACAAAGCUCGCAGCAAGCGUUGCGAGUUCCUUAAAUAUUAUAUAUAUAUUUAAAAUGUUAUAUAUAUAAUUUUUUUUUUUAAGUUUUACUUAUUUAUUAUAUAUAUUUAUUUAUAUUGCAUAUAAAAAUAAUAAUAAUAUAAAAAUCUAUAAUUUUGAUAAGUUUUAUUGUUUUACUUUAUGGUUGUGAUUUUUUUUAUGCAUAAUAAAUAAGUAAAAAUAAAAAAAAUUAUUACGUAUGUAUACUUAUCUCUUUUUUCAUGAUCAUGUUUGUAGGCAGCUUUUUCCAUCAUCCUCUAUGCCUAGGACGCGUGUCCCUCCGAAGAUCAAUUAUGGUGAGCCUGGAAGAGUUGCAACAAGGAAGAAAACCACUGCACAUAAAAGGAAGAAUAGUGAUUCCAAAUUAGUUGCUCCCAAGAAAAUUAGAGUAGGAAAGAGUGGUGAAGUUCCUCCUGUUCUUGAAAAUUGGGAAGAUGAAAUUAUUAGAAAAAUAAGAGAAGAUCGUUUUUGGGGAGAAGUUCGUGCCAGACAGGUUAACGAACAUCCCUCUAAGUCUGUUGGAUAUGAUUGGAAUCGUUUAUUCUCAAAAGCACCUCCUCAUAGAAGAAGUGGUAUUCCAGGACCAUCUAUUCUGAAAUUCAGGUUUGAACGUGGUGAGUUUCCCCUUUCUGCUACUAAGUUAGGGUCCAAUUCUCAAUUUGUUCAUGGUUGGGAUGAAUGGGUAACUAAAGUAUUGAAGAAUCCUUCUUAUGUUAAACUUCUCUCUUCUGCUGGGAUACUUGAUGCUAUACGUAUCACUUCUAAGCUCAAUAUUCGUAGAGAAAAAAGGAUAAAUGUGUGGCGUGCUAUUCUUGCGAAGUGGAGCACGUUUUCUCAUACUAUGAUUACUGCAUGGGGGGAAUUUACCUUCACUCUAGAAGAUGUGUGUGUUCUCUUGGAACUUCCUUGUAUAGGAAAGGAUGAUUUUCACUCUAUUAAGCUUUCUGAAGAAGAGGUAUGUACUCAAGACUUUCUUUGAUCUACUUAAGAGUCUGAGUAAAACUUCGAAGGUUGCACGAUUUUUCAAUUGGAUAAGGAUUUUUUAUAAAAAGUUCAAUGCUAAAGGAAUUGAGAUUGAUUCUCCUAAGUACCCAAACCAUAAGUAUGAGCUAGUAACUUUAAUAAUUUUUUGAUUGGCACGACACGUACUCCCAAGGUGUCCAGAUGAUGGUAUCUCCUCAGCAGUUGUUCCUUUAGCAAUAAAAAUUGUUAAGGGAAUACGCUUUCCUCUUGCUCCACUGUAUUUAGGAUCCCUAUAUAAGAGAUUAGACUUAUACCAACUCAAAACUAUUGAGUCAGCUGGGCGUUACAAGGUUUUGACUUAUGUGGAUGUUUCCUUCAUUCAGAUGUGCUUAUGGGAAAGGUUUGGCACUUGUGCUCCCAUGCCUAAUGCAUAUCCUUUUGCAUCUUUUUCUAUGAAUAACCCUUUAUCCAGAAACAACUAUAGAGCUUGGGCAUGGCAUGAUCGACUACAAAGGGGUAAUGUUCUUGAAGUGAUGGAUGUUACAAAAGAAUUCAAUCUCAGACCUUAUGUGCAGCCUAUAAAUGGAUUUGGUGAUCCUGCAAUUUAUUAUGACCUUCAUUCUCUACAGUCUAGAAGAAUGAGCUCACGAGGUAUUAACUUUUGUAUAUGGGUUCAUAGUUCCCAUUUACCUUCUAUGAUUGAGAGUUUUAGUUCUGGUGGAGAUAGAAACUUUCGUUCUGUUGAAGUGUAUUCUCCUUAUAGAGUGGCACGUCAAUUUGGAUUUGACCAACCAGCUCCACCUGACUCCUCUUCGCCUAUCAACUUUUAUUCUUGCGUUUCUUCAUUUCUCAUGAAAGGACUUUCACUCCGUUCAGAUAAACUGAAAAGUUGUACUGUCCCAGCUUUUGAUAGAGUUGGUAUCCACACUUCUGGAUGGUUUGCUUAUUGGAUGGAGUGUGUUGAAGAAUGGAGAUAUUUUAUUGUUCCUUUGACUAAUCCCAAAGCUUGUCUCUACACUUUUUUUAUAAGUAACUCCGAUGUAUCCUUACGCUUGAUUUCUCUCAAAAAGAAAAGAAAUGUAAAUGCAGAAAAAGAUGAUGUUCCUCGCGCUCUUACUCAUCAAACAGAACAUGUGCAUCGAAAAGUAAGUUCAUCUUUUACUUCUUCUUUUACUUUUUUUUUAAAAUAUUUUUUUUUUGUAGAGAGAAACAACUGUGAGAGUAGAACUUAAACUCGAUUGAAGAGGAAGAAACUUUUGAAGCUGAGACUGAGGAAGAAUCAUGUGACUCUGAACGUAGUGAUGAAUUUGAUAAUGAGUCUGUUGAUGUUGAUGAAGCUAAAAAUGAGAGUGAGCUAGCCCCUUUUGAUGAUUUAAUUGAUUUGAAUGUUCUAUUUCCAAAUCAUGUUCAGAGCUUUAUUCCCCAAGUUAUUCAAGAUGAGGCUAUUCUUAAUACCGAGGUUGUUCCUAACACUGAGGUUAUUUCUGCUAUUGAGAUUGUACCUGAUGUUAGAGUUGAUGCUGGAGCUAUUCUUGAUGUUGUCAUCAAUAAUGUCGGAGCAACUUCCAAUAUUGAGGUUGUUCAUGAUGUUGGAGUUGUUACUAAUGAUGCUAGAGCUACUCCGAUUAAUUCUCGUGCUUCUUCCNGUGAGAGUAGAACUUAAACUCGAUUGAAGAGGAAGAAACUUUUGAAGCUGAGACUGAGGAAGAAUCAUGUGACUCUGAACGUAGUGAUGAAUUUGAUGAUAAGUCUGUUAAUGUUGAUGAAGCUGAAAGUGAAGGUGAGCUAGCCCCUUUUGAUGAUGUCCUUGAUUUGGAUGUUCUAUUUUCAAAUCAUGUUCAGAGCUUUAUUCCCCAAGUUAUUCAAGAUGAGGCUAUUCUUAAUACCGAGGUUGUUCCUAACACUGAGGUUAUUUCUGCUGUUGAGAUUGUACCUGAUGUUAGAGUUGAUGUUGGAGCUAUUCUUGAUGUUGUCAUCAAUAAUGUCGGAGCAACUUCCAACAUUGAGGUUGUUCAUGAUGUUGGAGUUGUUACUAAUGAUGCUAGAGCUACUCCGUUUAAUUAUCGUGCUUCUUCCUCCCCAGUACCAGAACACAAAGAUGCAAGUAGUGCUUCUGGCACUCAAAUAACACAUACUAAACAAAGUGGUAAGAAAGUUGACUUCCAUGGCUUUCAAGUUUCAUUGGAGUAUGUGGCAUACUUGGAGCAUGUUUUCAAUAUAGAAAGAGUUUUGGAGUACCUCCCUUGUAAAGAACGUAGACAUCAUUUGCUUAAUGAUGGAAGUGUUGGGUAGAGCUUUAGCCAUUUCCCAUGCUCCACUAAUGAGUACUUCACCAGAGGAAUUGCAACAGAUGUUACAGGAUUUCGAUGAUGCUUGUAACUUUGGAUUCAAGCUUGAAUGCCUCAAUGAUUGUAGAUCUAAAGCCAAGAUUUUUCUCAACAAGUCUUUCUUGGAGAAUGAGUUAGAAGACAUUGCAGCGAAGAUAGCUUCACUGAAAAAACGUGAAGCUGAAGUACAAGAACAAUUAGUUGUAUUUGCCAAUAAUAACUCUUCUCUAUGGAGUAUGUAAUUGACUAGUCUUUUGCUUUUCUUUUACUCUUUUUGAAAGCUCAUUUGAGCUAGUACUCCGCUAUUGAUAUAUCAUAUUUCUUUUUCUUUUGCAAUAAUAAUAAUGCUAUACGCUUGUUGCGUAGGUGUUUACAUUUCAUAUUAUUGUAUGUGGCCAAAAAGAAACUCUCAACUUUUCAUCAAGGAGAUUAACUCUAACUUGAUAUGAAUGAGGUUAAUUCAACCCUUAAAAUAAGUAAGCGUAAGAGCUGCGGCCAAUUUGUGAGUAAUAAGCUAGGGCCAAGAAAUGAGCGAUAAAGCUAGCGCCCAAUAGCAUAACAUCAUUACAGCCAAAUUAUGAGCGAUAAAACUAGCGGCUAGAAUGUGAAUAAUAAAUUAUGGUCAAAGAAUAAACGAUAAAGCUUGCGACCAAAAGUAUAAUAUCAUUGCAGCCAAAAUAUGAGCGGUAAAGCUUGCGACUGAAGUAAGAAUAUCAUUGCAGCCAAAAUAUGAACGGUAAAGCUUGCGACUGAAGUAAGAAUAAUGAACAAUGGUCAAAGAAUAAGCAAUAAAGCUUGCGACCAAUAGUAUAAUAUAAUUACAGCCAAAAUAUAAGCGAUAAAGCUAGCGGUUGAAUAUGAAUUUUUUUUUAAUGUCAAAUUGCAAUUCAUAAAGCGAUGAAGAGUUAAAGUCAUAGAAAUAUCACACAUGAGCAGGAAGCAAGUUGUUCUGGACCUUGUUGUUCUCAAUCAACAACUCUUCUACUUGCAUUUUCUUAUGAAAUAUUCCCUUUUAAAAAGGAUCUCUUUUUUCUCUACCUUUUUCUUAAAUUGCAUUCACUGUUGAAGUAUUCUUUCUAUCGAAGCAAGUAGCUCUCUUUUGUUUGAGAACCGUAUUAUUGGUUCUUCUUGCCAUUUCCAUUAACGAAGUAAAAGUUGGAAGAGGUAAAUUCUGCUAGUGUAGCCUACACUCGUCAAACUUUUUUUUUUGAAUGCAAACCAUCACCAACUCCUUCUCAUCAUAAAACUCUUGUAUAUCCAACACCCUUUCUCUAAAGUGUUAGAUGUAUUUCAUGAGGUCUUCUUUGAACUUUUGAUAUUCUGUUCCCAAAUCAAGGAGAUUAACCUUCUCUUGAGUAGAGAAAAAGAACUCCUCCCUAAACAUCCACAUCGAUUGUAGUUUCUCCAUUUCCUUCAUUCCCCUUAGUGUUUGUAACUAGAGGAAUGACUUUGUCAGGUGCAUUCUCAUUAAAGUAUACAGAUUGAGCUUGAAAAAUGAUGGAAGUGAAAGAUGCAAGUUGAGAUAUGGUCUCCAACAUCCGCCUAUUGUUGUCUUCUAGCAUUUGCAUUCUCUCUUAAGAAGCCUCAAUCAUUUUCAUCAACUUUUGGAUGUAGGUUGGAAUAGAUGUAUCUUGGUUACUAAAGGAACUGUCUAUUACUUCCAAUAACGCAAAGUUUUUCUAGUAAGCUUUUACUUAAUGUAAUCACUCCUCCCUAGUGGAGUCGCCAAAAUGUAAAGGGGAUUCUUGUGAUAGGGAGAGGAAGCGUUGCAAACAAGUAAAAUGAUGUGCCAAAGGCGACAGAGAGAAAGAUUGAAGCAGUUCCUGAAGUACUAAGUGCUGUGGCAGGUGGAAGACAAUAAGAAGAGACUUAAAGAGACUUAUAGAGUACAAGAUAAUUAGAGAGAGAAUUUAAGGAGAGAAGCUCUCAAGUUGAGAAUCUGUUAGCUUAGAGGGGGGAGAAAAGUCCCUCUAAAUGAAUUGUGAAGCUCUAUAUAUAGUGCUAAAAGUGACUGUUACUCAAGAAUAGGAUUUAAUGCGCCUAAUAAAUGACAUUAUUAUGAAGNUUGAAUUGUGAGGCUCUAUAUAUAAUGCUAAAAGUGACGGUUACAUAAAAAUAGGCUUUAAUACGCCUAAUGAAUGACAUUAUUAUGAAGAAUAUUAAUUAACGUAACCGUUACUGUGAUUGGAUGUAGUAAGACUUGUUCUCAAGUAAAGGUAAUAGAAAAGAGGUGUACAAGAAUAGGUACAAGAGAAGAAGCUGUACGAGAAUAGAUACAAGAGAAUAAGCUGUACAUGAAUAAGUAUACGAGAACAAGAUAAGAGGGUGAAACACUUGUACUUCAGGAAAGGAUUAAGAGGAAGACCUCUUA
rnacentral:lncRNA from 1 species